rnacentral:rRNA from 1 species
CGGUUUGAUCCUGGCUCAAGGAUGAACGCUAGCGGCAGGCUUAANACAUGCAAGUCGAGGGGUAUGCCGAUUUAUCGGCAGAGACCGGCGCACGGGUGCGUAACGCGUAUGCAAUCUACCUUUGCAGAGGGAUAGCCCAGAAAAUUUGGAUUAAUACCUCAUAGUAUAGUACUUUGGCAUCAAGGAACUAUUAAAGUCACAACGGCAAAAGAUGAGCAUGCGUCCCAUUAGCUAGUUGGUAAGGUAACGGCUUACCAAGGCUACGAUGGGUAGGGGUCCUGAGAGGGAGAUCCCCCACACUGGUACUGAGACACGGACCAGACUCCUACGGGAGGCAGCAGUGAGGAAUAUUGGACAAUGGGCGCAAGCCUGAUCCAGCCAUGCCGCGUGCAGGAAUAAGGUCCUAUGGAUUGUAAACUGCUUUUAUACAGGAAGAAACACACCCUCGUGAGGGUACUUGACGGUACUGUAUGAAUAAGGACCGGCUAACUCCGUG